rnacentral:rRNA from 1 species
UGGCGCUUCCAUGCAGUCGAGCGGUAACAGGGAGCUGCUCCUGCUGACAGGGCGGACGGGUGAGUAACGCGUAGGAAUCUGCCUAGUAGAGGGGGACAACAUGUGGAAACGCAUGCUAAUACCGCAUACGCCCUGAGGGGGAAAGGAGGGGACUUUUCGGAGCCUUCCGCUAUUAGAUGAGCCUGCGUGAGAUUAGCUAGUUGGUAGGGUAAAGGCCUACCAAGGCGACGAUCUCUAACUGGUCUGAGAGGAUGACCAGUCACACUGGGACUGAGACACGGCCCAACUCCUACGGGAGGCAGCAGUGGGGAAUAUUGGACAAUGGGCGGAAGCCUGAUCCAGCCAUGCCGCGUGUGUGAAGAAGGCCUUAGGGUUGUAAAGCACUUUCAGGGGUGAGGAAGGGUGACUGGCUAAUAUCCAGUUAUCUUGACGUUAGCCCCAGAAGAAGCACCGGCUAACUCUGUGCCAGCAGCCGCGGUAAUACAGAGGGUGCAAGCGUUAAUCGGAAUUACUGGGCGUAAAGCGCGCGUAGGUGGUUUGUUAAGUCGGAUGUGAAAUCCCAGGGCUCAACCUUGGAAUGGCACCCGAUACUGGCAGGCUAGAGUACGGUAGAGGGGUGUGGAAUUUCCUGUGUAGCGGUGAAAUGCGUAGAUAUAGGAAGGAACAUCAGUGGCGAAGGCGACACCCUGGACUGAUACUGACACUGAGGUGCGAAAGCGUGGGGAGCAAACAGGAUUAGAUACCCUGGUAGUCCACGCCGUAAACGAUGUCUACUAGCCGUUGGGUUGUAAUGACUUAGUGGCGCAGCUAACGCAAUAAGUAGACCGCCUGGGGAGUACGGCCGCAAGGUUAAAACUCAAAUGAAUUGACGGGGGCCCGCACAAGCGGUGGAGCAUGUGGUUUAAUUCGAAGCAACGCGAAGAACCUUACCUACUCUUGACAUCCAGUGAACUUAGCAGAGAUGCUUUGGUGCCUUCGGGAACACUGAGACAGGUGCUGCAUGGUGUCGUCAGCUCGUGUUGUGAAUGUUGGGUUAAGUCCCGUACGAGCGCACCUUCCUUAUUUGGCAUUUUUAGGGACUGCGGAACGGAGAGGAGGCGACAGUCAUCAUACC